AGAUGGUUAUCUCUCUUAGGUGAC
rnacentral:siRNA from 1 species